ACGUGCCGAUAGGAGAAGGCCCAGUUAAUGCUCUACAUCUACCCUGUAGAUCCGAAUUUGUUUGAUAAGAGGCGACAAAUUCGGUUCUAGAGAGGUUUGUGUGGUGCAUACAGAGCUACGGUGUGGUCUCUAAACUAUGUGCUAACGUUUCCCAUAACAUUUUUCAAUGAUAUCGCGAUAAUCUUCAACAAUUGUACUGGCGUUUCAAUACCUGUUCUAUCGUCAAACAAAAGAGAAGAUGAAGAUACAGAUAGAAACGGUAUCUUAGGAAAAUCGAACAUUUACAUUGUAAGAAAUUUAAAAAAUGAUAGUUGAAUGGGGUCAAGGGAGAAAGAUGGUGGUAAGGAUAUUGAAGGUCGUUAAAAAAUUCAUUAAUCAUAGUGCAAAGUAAAUGACACGAUACUUGCAAUGAAUUUCUGUUAGUAUAGGUUCAAAUUAAUUGGCUACGUGUCUAUAGUCCGUCCAAUGAGACGAGUCAGUAUAUGUUUACAAAUUCGCGCGCUCGACGCAGGGCCGACGCACAGUUGUUUCCAGUUCUUCUAACGCUUCGGUCGAGGUCUGUAUACAGUGAGUCGAGCCUGUUUCGAGCACGUGAAUUUAUAUGCAUUUGCGAAAUUGUCUCGUUGGAUGGACUAUAGUGAUCGAUUUGGGUCUUGCAAGUGUCUUCAACCCCUAUUUCUUCAAUCAUCUUCAUUUUAUAUUGAUUUGUAUGUUAAAGUAGAUAAGAUGUACAGAAUUUCUAAAAGGAUAAUAAUCAUCUAUCGACAAUCUAUUGCACGUAUUACACACGCUGCAUUAGAUUGCACAUUCCUGGUGCAGCCUGUACAGAUAGCUUCAAAAUUCGUAAAUUGUAAACUAAUAAUCCUUUAAUUGUAAAUGUUCGUUAAGUUUAAAUUAGUUAUUAAGCGUAUCAAUUAAGCGUGUUCCAUUAAUUUUAAAUCCUAAAUUUGCAAAUUUUUCAUUUCCAUUAUAUACGAAGACCCUUAAAAAUCCUCAACCCAAAAACACAAAGUACCUCAAAAUUUAAUUAAUUUGAUAUUUGUAAUCCGCAGUCUUCCAUUUGGAAUUUCAUUAAAAAAAAAUUAAUAUGUAAGUAGUAUCUUGAAGAAUCCACGAAGAGAAGCAUAAGCGGAUUGUAUUUUCCAAGAUGACGAGAAAGGACGACGAUUCGUGAUGGAAGAAUAAGCGAACGGUUAGAUAGAUGUCUCAUCUUUUUUAAUUCGACACCUUAUCCUCUUAUUCACGGUCGAUCAGAAGAUGCUGAGCGUGGCUUUGCUGCGUUUUCUUGAAUCCCUCUGUAACAGCCGCUACGCGUUCAUUAAUCUUUGAUCGUGUUCACAUUAAAAUGACACGCCGCUCGUUACGCAACGGCUGGUAAGUGCUAAUGAAGUGCAUACACGGCCGUAAUUACCGUUCAAGUAGCCUGCCCAUUUCUCGCGCGUGCGCCAAUCGAACAGAGAGAAAAAGAAAAAGGAAAAAAAGCCAGUGUAUUUCAUAAUGAUUCCAAUCGGAAAAAGAACGUUUUACAUGAUUGCACGCUUUUAUAAAGGCAGACGUGAAACCUCCUUCGUAAAUAUUGUUUUGAAAUACAGAAUUUUUCCAUGGAAUGAAAGAUUAAAAAUCUAAGCUUGUCAGUGUUUAACUUUGCAUUAAUGUGAUGAAUAAAAAUGAGAUGGGUGGUGUGGUGGGUGUAUGACACCCCUAUAUUUUUGGUUUAUUUUAGCAAUUUUUAUUUACUUGCAAAAAUGAAUUUUGAAUUAAGAGAUAAUUUUGCCAUGUAACAAUAACACAUAGAAAUAAAUGACUGUCCAUCCACGGCUAAUAUAAAUUAGAAUAGAAUACUGUUAAUUUAAUUAAAUUGAUGAUUGAAUUAACCCAAGUUGAUAGGAACAUACCUGAGAACUGAAUAGAACACUUCGAUCCUCGACAAUCCUUUUAUACUCAAUGAUUGACCUCUUUUCAAAUAACACGAUAACUGAAGUUGCUUAUUUCUCUAUCAUUUACCUCUUUCACAAAGAAAUUAUCUUUUACUACAAUCUACAAGAUAGUUCGUAUGCAUUUUAUUAUACAAGCCGUUAGUAUAAUUUACGAUCCUUGAUCAUUAAAACUCAAGAUGAUUACAGUGCUACUGAAGUGCAAUUGUCGCUUAAUUGAAGCAUAUUUUAUUUGCUCACUUAUCGCAGAACAGCCUUAUCACUGAUGAUGAUCAACGCAACUCAUUAGCCCUUGGUGACGUGGAUCGCAAGAAGAUUAGACGUUGAGAAGAAACUGCAAACCGAGUUCGAGCCACGAAGAAGUUGGCGUAUCCGGCGGAAGUUGGCAGAAGAGAGGGCAGCAGCCAGGUUCAAUCGGCGUCGUCGAAUGAAGACAAACGGUUCUGGGGUCGCGGUGGACGCGUUUACCUACGUUUCCAGAGAUCCUCGCGGAGUCUCGAGUCUAAAUCCACAUCCAAGUGCGCGAGAAAACAUAGCAAGAUUAAUGAUAUGCCUGACACAAGGGAGAGGGUGCUGGUUGGCGAGCACACUGGCGUCGGUAACUGCCAAGAGGAAACAGCAACCACAGGAAUAGCUUUGCUACUUUCCAUACUGCACCGUCCUGCGCCUUACUCCAGUUGCAUACUUGUCACUCAUUUCCUGUCAUGCUCAAGAAUCUCGCGAUACCUUGCAUAUUGUUGUUCUUGUUUUCCGAGGUAUUUCGAUUCGCAUUGUCUCAGUCGUAGUAAGUGGGGAAUCGAUCUUAGGGUGCGUAUAGAAAUUCUUCAGGCGAUGAAAUGAAAGAAUGGUGAGUUUAUUUCUUGCAUCGAUUGAGUCAAGAAAUCUACAUCUGUAAUCUUCCAGAUAGAAGACAAAAUUAAAAAUGUUGAAAGCUUCGUUAACUUCUAUCGGUCGAAGAAUAAAGAG